rnacentral:rRNA from 1 species
UACGGGGGGAGCAAGCGUUGUUCGGAUUUACUGGGCGUAAAGGGCGCGUAGGCGGCCAGCACAAGUCAGUUGUGAAAUCUCCGGGCUUAACUCGGAAAGGUCAACUGAUACUGUGCGGCUAGAGUGCAGAAGGGGCAACUGGAAUUCUCGGUGUAGCGGUGAAAUGCGUAGAUAUCACUUGGAACGCCAAUGGUGAAGACAGCUCGCUGGGGGUGUCCUGACGCUGAGGCGCGAAAGCCAGGGGAGCGAACGGG